GUAUUGACUAUCCACUGACUUCAGGUGCAAGGGGUUUUCAAUCACAAUUUUUCCCCACCAUAACUUUCUUGGUGUGAUAGGGAAGGGUUACAUUUAGAGUCCCACACUGGCCCAACUUAAAAGGAAUCCAGUAGUUAAAGUUAACAGAAAAGUACAACAAUAACCAGCACAUUACACAAAGAGGAGACAAGUUUAUGUUAAUCCUUUUAAAGGGAUUAUCUUGACAAUGUUAGUAAACAUUGUAACCUGAAGUUUAAGGUCAC